rnacentral:lncRNA from 1 species
CAGAACUGGCCCCUUCCUCUCCCUGCGUCCGGCAGCUCCGGCUCCGACCUUUCCGGGGUCACCGUGGUGACAUCAGGGGCCAAGGUCCAGGCGGGGCAGCACCCGCGGCUGGGGACAGCCGGGACAGCCCGAGUGACACCAUGAGGCUGUGGCUGCUCUGCGCUGUCACCGCCGCCGUGGCCGUGGCCGGAGCUGGCGCUGGGGCCGGAGCUGGAGCCGGAGCUGAGCACGGCGACUCCAGGAUGGUGGCACGCGGGAGAGAGGAGUCGCAGUCGAUGCCCUGGAAUUCCCGUGAAGAGGAUGCGGCUCAGCCGGGCAGGCGGGCGCGGAGCAGGAAGGGUCCUGGAGGUACUAGGAAAGCGUGCCCGGAUGGGGAUGGAGGUGGGAUGUACAUGGGAUGGGGAU